rnacentral:rRNA from 1 species
GAUGAACGCUGGCGGCGUGCCUAAUACAUGCAAGUCGAGCGAACAGACGAGGAGCUUGCUCCUCUGACGUUAGCGGCUGACGGGUGAGUAACACGUGGAUAACCUACCUAUAAGACUGGGAUAACUUCGGGAAACCGGAGCUAAUACCGGAUAAUAUAUUGAACCGCAUGGUUCAAUAGUUAAAGACGGUUUUGCUGUCACUUAUAGAUGGAUCCGCGCCGCAUUAUCUAGUUGGUAAGGUAACGGCUUACCAAGGCAACGAUGCGUAUCCGACGUGAGAGGGUGAUCAGCCACACUAGAGCUGGGGAACGCGCCUGACUACUACGGGAGGCAGCAGUCGGGAAUCUGCCGCAAUGGGCGAAAGCCUGAUGGAGCAACGCCCCGUGAGUAAUGAAGUUCUUCGGAUCGUAAAACACUGUUGUUGGGGAAGAACAAUAGUAUAUGGAACUGUGGCUUUGUUGACGGUACCUAAACAGAAAGCAACGGCUAGCUUCGUG